rnacentral:snRNA from 1 species
GUCUCUUCGGAGACAUCUGAUAAAAUUGGAACGAUACAGAGAAGAUUAUCAUGGCCCCUGCGCAAGGAUGACACGCACAAAUCGAGAAAUGGUCCAAAUUUUU